GUAGGUAUGUAAAAACAAAACCCCUCCCAUUCUACUACACAAAGCAAAAAGCUAACAAUUUCUAGGUGAACCUGCGGAAGGAUCAUUACCGAGUUCUCCUGUUCUGCAGGAACUCCCCACCCUUGAAGAUCGAAGCGUUGCUUUGGCAAGACGUCUUUGGACCAUCGGGUUUACUCGAUGAGCGCUUGCCGAAGUUCUAAACACUCAAUUAUGUAUCGUCAGAUAAAACAAGCAAUAAAUGAAAACUUUC
rnacentral:misc_RNA from 1 species